GACAUAUUUAACGUUACAACAAAAUUGAAACAAUACAAAGAAGAUUGACAUGACCCAUGCGCAAGGGGAUGACACGCGCACAAAUCGAGAAAUGGUCCAAAUUUUU